rnacentral:rRNA from 1 species
CCAGGUUGACCUCGGAUCAGGUAGGAAUACCCGCUGAACUUAAGCAUAUCAAUAAGCGGAGGA